GAUGAACGCUGGCGGCGUGCCUAAUACAUGCAAGUCGAGCGAAAAGACGAGGAGCUUGCGCCGCUGACGUGAGGGGAGGACGGGUGAGUAACACGUGGAUAACCUACUUGUAAGACGGGGAAAACCAGGGGAAAGCGGAGCAAAUACGGGAGAAGAUAUUGAACCGCAGGGUGGAAUAGUGAAAGACGGCGUUGGGGGCACGAAUAGAGGGUUCCCCGCCGCAUUAGCUAGUUGGUAAGGUAACGGGUUACCAAGGCAACGAGGCGUAGCCGACCUGAGAGGGUGGUCGGCCACCUUGGAACUGAGCCACCGUCCAGGCUCCUACGGGAGGCCGCAGUCGCGUACCUUACGCAAUGGUCGAAAGCCUGACGGAGCAACGCCGCGUGAGUGAUGACGGUCUUCCGUUCGUAAAGCUCUGUUACUAGGGAUGAACCACUGUGUCAUUAGCUAUGCCCGUCUUGACGGUACCUGAUCAGAAAGCCCCGGCUAACUACGUG
rnacentral:rRNA from 1 species